rnacentral:rRNA from 1 species
AAACCGUUCAGGGGUAAACCUGAGAAACCCGAAAGUUCGAAAGGAGAGAUUCACCGCGACUCGACUCGUCGGCGAGUGCGCGUACGGACGUGCGAUCGCGUGCACUUCUCUCCUAGUAGGACGUCGCGACCCGUCGGGUGUCGGUCUACGAUCGACGGUGGAGCCCGCGAAAACGAUUCACGUCGUCUUUCGCGAACCCGUCGCAUCCGGCCGGCUCGCUCGACGGUAGAACAUGAGGGGCGCGGGGCCGCGACCAGUUCGCGUCCGAACCGUCGCAAGCGUGCUCGGUAAUUCGGUGUACUCGGAGUCCUCGCGUCUCCGGUCUCGGAUCCGGGCUACUGUUCGCGGCGGAUCUCUCGGACAGACUCCGUAUACACGCCCGUCAGCGACGCUAUUACUUUGGGUACUUUCAGGACCCGUCUUGAAACACGGACCAAGGAGUCUAGCAUGAACGCGAGUCUUAGGGACUCUAAAUUAAAGAACUAAACCUUGAGGCGCAAUGAAAGUAAAGAUCCGCCUUGCGCGCGAUCUAGGGAAUACGGGUGCCGGUCCUUCGCGGGACCGAACCCUGCACUCCCGGGGCGUCUCGAUUUCAUCGCGAGAUGAGGCGCAUCCAGAGCGUACACGCU